UUCAGAUUGCCAAUUUGUGUGCCUGAACAGCCGAAAAAACUCCACAAAAAGUCAUCAUAAUAUAUGCAUGAACUCUUCCGAAUUGUUUUUGGCUUGUAAGAAUGGGAACGCCUUAAAUCGCUCUACAUACAAAACGAGGCAACAGUGAUACAAAAUGGGGCGGCGGUGUGCUUUAGGACCAUUCAGACGCCUCCGAGCAGUCCGAGAGUGCUCUCUCAAGAGCACCGUUGAUUUUCAAGGGCUGGUUCCACGCCUGGGGAUCACAGGAUACAAUUUCUUCCUGAAUGUAUUUAUCUCUGCAGCUGUGGAGCUGCUCACUGGUCUCAUCUUCAACUGCUGGUGGACAGGGUGGGAUGGAGACUCCUCAUGGCUGUCUCUAACUUCAUAUGAGUCGCCGCCUGCCUCAUAGUCCCCUUUGUUUCAGUAGACUGUGUGGCUGAUGAAAACCAUAGCGAUCAUUGGUCAGGCUGUUGCCAUUGGAAUUGAGACUGAACUUUGCCAACUCUAAGCUGUAUCCAACACCUCUCAGCAAAUAAUAAAAUGAAACUCAUUAAUGCUGCUUAAUUCUGUUUUCACAACCUGGAUUACAUACUGGUAGUAAUACAUGCAGUAACAUACAAUAAUAAGGUAUUAUACUACAUAUAUUGUGUAAACAUAUGAUAUGACGUAGUGUACUCUAUAUUGAGACUCAUAUUCAGUAACGUUUUUUUUUUUACACUGAGUAUACCAGACAUUAGGAACACCUUCCUAAUUUUGAGUUGCAUGAACACUAAAAGUUGUCGAAACUGCAUUCACCUGGUCAGUCUAUGUCAUGGAAAGAGCAGGUGUUCUUAAUGUUUUGUAUAUUCAGCUCAUAUUUCUGCAUUUCAGAACUGUCGGCUAAACUGCUUGAUAAUACUGUACCAUGUGUAUCUGUAGGUGUCAUGUCUGUGCUGUACAAUGGACUGACAAUUUGCCUGAGACCAUAGAAGACGUGGAGAACUUAAAUGGUUGUGUUAGUUUGUCUUGGUCGCUUAAUAUGCCCAUUCUGCAUUACCAGGAGAUACAAACAAAAAGGAAAAGACUUGAAAGGAAAAGACUCCAACAGAAAGGACUACAUCAUGUAAACUAUUUCAUAUAUUUGUGUAAAUUUCACACAGUAUUACACUAAUUUUUCUGUUACUCGGUGAGGCUUGGGAGGAAGAAAAGCAACAUGUAGAGUAGGAGGAAGAGAAUAACAAAAAAUAAACACUUGUCUU